GUCUGCGCAUGUGAAACUGUAAGGAAAGACAACUCUGACUAAAUCUGAGUGAACCCAUAGACAUUGAAACGUGAUAGAUAAUGACCACCAUUCGCAUAUGAUAAGCUCAUGUAUUUAUAAAUUCAGUCAUUCGUUUGACUAGGUUAUUGUUCAUUUUGUUAAAACGAUAAAUAUAAUUUUUAUCGAUUGGAAUGUUCACUAACUAAAAAAACGAAUCGGCGUCUUUGAUUGCACGUAAAGUUAUUUUCACACCUCACUUCCGGAAACAAGUUCCAAAGGAAAUUUCGAUUUAGAAAUUACUUACGACAGAGAUGGUGUGUGUUCCAUGUCUCGUGAUUCCUUUUGUGCUGUGGGUGUUCCACAAAUAUAUCCGACCAGUUCUGAUCAAAAUAUGGAAUCCAUUUGGUAUACUGGGUAAAGAAGACACCCAAACUGACAAAUCAGCACAAGAAGAAAAACAAAAGUUACAUACGGAGCAAAAUGGACUUUCAAAACCUCAUGACAAUGGUAUACAGAAUGGUGUUGCAAAUGGAGGGGUGAAAGUCGGUGGUUCCAGCAAAAAAGAUGACUGACAGAAUACCCCUGAUGGAAUAAAGACCCGGAAAAAUACUUUCAAGUGGAAAUAAAGAAAUGUGACAGUUUCCCUGGCUAAAAAAUGUUAUUCUUUUACACAGAUUUUUUGAUAUACAAGAGUCAAAUUUACUUCAUCUUUUCUUUUUGCUCAAUAGUAAACACACAGUGAAGUUGACACAAUCGAUUGUGCAUCUUAUUCUAAGCACAGCAUCUUUUAUUGUAGUAUAUCAUCAAUGUGAUUGUUUUAUGUAGGUGUGACACUAAAUGGGUGUUUAGAACCAUGUGUAUUAUAAUAUUCGAGAUGAUGAUAAUGAACAUUGCAUUUUCAUCAUUUUAGUUGUGUAUGUUAAGUGUGAAAUAUCUAGUAUUUAUCAUUAACAAAAUGGUGAGCUGCAUACAACUGCAGUGACCUAUUUCUUUUGGUUUAAUUGAUAUAAACAAGAAUGGAAUAAGAAAUAUUUGUAAAUAACUUUGAAGUUGA